rnacentral:rRNA from 1 species
GACGAACGCUCGCGGCGUGCUUAACACAUGCAAGUCGAGCGGUAAGGCCCUUUCGGGGGGUACACGAGCGGCGAACGGGUGAGUAACACGUGGGUGACCUGCCCUCAGCUCUGGGAUAAGCCUGGGAAACUGGGUCUAAUACUGGAUAUGACUCCAUGACGCAUGUUGUGGGGUGGAAAGCCUUGUGCGGCUGAGGAUGGGCCCGCGGCCUAUCAGCUUGUUGGUGGGGNGAUGGCCUACCAAGGCGACGACGGGUAGCCGGCCUGAGAGGGCGACCGGCCACACUGGGACUGAGACACGGCCCAGACUCCGUACGGGAGGCAGCAGUGGGGAAUCUUGCGCAAUGGGCGAAAGCCUGACGCAGCGACGCCGCGUGAGGGAUGACGG